rnacentral:tRNA from 1 species
GCCCGGGUGGCUCAGUCGGUAGAGCAUCUGACUUUGACUCAGGUCAUGAUCUCACAAUUCGUGGGUUUGAGCCCCGUGUG